rnacentral:tRNA from 1 species
GGAGGGUUCGCCUAAUGGUAUGGCAGCAGUCUUGAAAACUGCCGUCCUUCGGGACGUGGGGGUUCAAGUCCCUCACCCUCCG